CCCCCUAACACUUAGCACUCAUCGUUUACGGCGUGGACUACCAGGGUAUCUAAUCCUGUUUGAUCCCCACGCUUUCGCACAUCAGCGUCAGUUACAGACCAGAAAGUCGCCUUCGCCACUGGUGUUCCUCCAUAUCUCUGCGCAUUUCACCGCUACACAUGGAAUUCCACUUUCCUCUUCUGCACUCAAGUUUUCCAGUUUCCAAUGACCCUCCACGGUUGAGCCGUGGGCUUUCACAUCAGACUUAAAAAACCGCCUACGCGCGCUUUACGCCCAAUAAUUCCGGAUAACGCUUGCCACCUACGUAUUACCGCGGCUGCUGGCACGUAGUUAGCCGUGGCUUUCUGAUUAGGUACCGUCAAGAUGUGCACAGUUACUUACACAUAUGUUCUUCCCUAAUAACAGAGUUUUACGAUCCGAAGACCUUCAUCACUCACGCGGCGUUGCUCCGUCAGGCUUUCGCCCAUUGCGGAAGAUUCCCUACUGCUGCCUCCCGUAGGAGUCUGGACCGUGUCUCAGUUCCAGUGUGGCCGAUCACCCUCUCAGGUCGGCUAUGCAUCGUUGCCUUGGUAAGCCGUUACCUUACCAACUAGCUAAUGCAGCGCGGAUCCAUCUAUAAGUGACAGCAAGACCGUCUUUCACUUUUGAACCAUGCGGUUCAAAAUAUUAUCCGGUAUUAGCUCCGGUUUCCCGAAGUUAUCCCAGUCUUAUAGGUAGGUUAUCCACGUGUUACUCACCCGUCCGCCGCUAACAUCAGAGAAGCAAGCUUCUCGUCCGUUCGCUCGACUUGCAUGUAUUAGGCACGCCGCCAGCGUUCAUCCUGAGCCAGGAUCAAACCCUG
rnacentral:rRNA from 1 species